AUUGAACGCUGGCGGCGUGCUUAACACAUGCAAGUCGAUCGGUAACAGGUGUAGCAAUACAUGCUGACGAGAGGCGGACGGGUGAGUAAUGCUUGGGAAUCUGCCUAUUAGUGGGGGACAACCCGGGGAAACUCGGGCUAAUACCGCAUACGCUCUACGGAGGAAAGCCGGGGACCGCAAGGCCUGGCGCUAAUAGAUGAGCCCAAGUCGGAUUAGCUAGUUGGUAGGGUAACGGCCUACCAAGCGACAAUCCGUAGCUGGUCUGAGAGGACGACCAGCCACACCGGAACUGAGACACGGUCCGGACUCCUACGGGAGGCAGCAGUGGGGAAUAUUGGACAAUGGGGGCAACCCUGAUCCAGCGACGCCGCGUGGGUGAAGAAGGCCUGCGGGUUGUAAAGCCCUUUCGGUGGGGAAGAAAAGUCUCGACCUAAUACGUCGGGACCUUGACGUAACCCACUAAAGAAGCACCGGCUAACUCUGUGCCAGCAGCCGCCGUAAC
rnacentral:rRNA from 1 species